UACGAAGGGGGCUAGCGUUGCUCGGAAUUACUGGGCGUAAAGCGCACGUAGGCGGCUUUCUAAGUCGGGGGUGAAAUCCUGGAGCUCAACUCCAGAACUGCCUUCGAUACUGGAGAGCUCGAGUCCGGGAGAGGUGAGUGGAACUGCGAGUGUAGAGGUGAAAUUCGUAGAUAUUCGCAAGAACACCAGUGGCGAAGGCGGCUCACUGGCCCGGUACUGACGCUGAGGUGCGAAAGCUAGGGGAGCGAACAGG
rnacentral:rRNA from 1 species